GACCUUAUAGCGAAGUGUAUCGCGUCCGCGUUUCAUAUCGAGCAGGUACUGGUUUGCGGAAGUCCCCCGUUCGAUUCGGGGUUGGGUCA